rnacentral:misc_RNA from 1 species
CCGAGUUGCAAAACUCCCACACCCUCGCGAACGCUACCCGUACCGUUGCUUCGGCGGGCGGGCCCUCCCCCCCGGGGGGGGACCCCGAAGGCCCAACCCCUCGCGGGGCGGGCGCCCGCCGGAGGCAAACACAACUUCUGUUUUUUAGCGGCCUCUCUGAGCGAAUCAAAAAAUACGUUA